rnacentral:rRNA from 1 species
GGGGGAUAUUGCACAAUGGAGGAAAGUCUGAUGGAGCAACGCCGCGUGAGCGAUGAAGGCCUUCGGGUCGUAAAGCUCUGUUGUUAGGGAAGAACAAGUAUCGGAGUAACUGCCGGUACCUUGACGGUACCUAACCAGAAAGCCACGGCUAACUACGUGCCAGCAGCCGCGGUAAUACGUAGGUGGCAAGCGUUGUCCGGAAUUAUUGGGCGUAAAGCGCGCGCAGGCGGUCCUUUAAGUCUGAUGUGAAAGCCCACGGCUCAACCGUGGAGGGUCAUUGGAAACUGGGGGACUUGAGUGCAGAAGAGGAAAGCGGAAUUCCACGUGUAGCGGUGAAAUGCGUAGAGAUGUGGAGGAACACCAGUGGCGAAGGCGGCUUUCUGGUCUGUAACUGACGCUGAGGCGCGAAAGCGUGGGGAGCAAAC